CCUACGGGAGGCAGCAGUGGGGAAUAUUGCACAAUGGGGGAAACCCUGAUGCAGCGACGCCACGUGAGUGAAGAAGUAAUUCGUUAUGUAAAGCUCUAUCAGCAGGGAAGAAAAUGACGGUACCUGAGUAAGAAGCCCCGGCUAACUACGUGCCAGCAGCCGCGGUAAUACGUAGGGGGCAAGCGUUAUCCGGAUUUACUGGGUGGAAAGGGAGCGUAGACGGCAGUGCAAGUCUGGAGUGAAAGGCGGGGGCUCAACCCCCGGACUGCUCUGGAAACUGUACGGCUGGAGUGCAGGAGAGGUAAGUGGAAUUCCUAGUGUAGCGGUGAAAUGCGUAGAUAUUAGGAGGAACACCAGUGGCGAAGGCGGCUUACUGGACUGUAACUGACGUUGAGGCUCGAAAGCGUGGGGAGCAAACAGGAUUAGAUACCCUUGUAGUC
rnacentral:rRNA from 1 species